rnacentral:snoRNA from 1 species
UUGCACAGUGAACACUCAAGUGUGUUUUAUAGUUCCCUUGGCUUUGACCCUGUGCUAUAGCAAUGCCUGUUCAUCUCUGCAUUGAAAGGAGUUUUUAUCCUUUUAAUGUAUUCAAAAAGCCAGUGCAUUA